rnacentral:rRNA from 1 species
UCUUGGUACCGAGCUCGGAUCCACUAGUAACGGCCGCCAGUGUGCUGGAAUUCGCCCUUAGAGUUUGAUCAUGGCUCAGGACGAACGCUGGCGGCGCGCCUAACACAUGCAAGUCGAGCGAUCGGCCCGCUAUUCUUCGGAAUGGCGGGUACGGAGCGGCGGACGGGUGAGUAACGCGUACCUGACCUACCCUCCAGAGGGGGAUAGCCACGGGAAACCGUGGGUAAUACCCCAUACGCUCCUACUGGGGCCAAGUUAUUAAAAGAUGACUUGGCUAAGGUAGGAGGAAAGCUGAGGCGCUGGAGGAUGGGGGUGCGUCCCAUCAGCUAGUUGGUGAGGUAAUGGCUCACCAAGGCAAAGACGGGUAACCGGCCUGAGAGGGUGGACGGUCACACCGGGACUGAGACACGGCCCGGACUCCUACGGGAGGCAGCAGUGGGGAAUAUUGCACAAUGGAGGAAACUCUGAUGCAGCAACGCCGCGUGGAGGAUGACGCAUUUCGGUGUGUAAACUCCUUUUAUAUGGGAAGAUAAUGACGGUACCAUAUGAAUAAGCACCGGCUAACUCCGUGCCAGCAGCCGCGGUAAUACGGAGGGUGCAAGCGUUACUCGGAAUCACUGGGCGUAAAGCGCGCGCAGGCGGUCUUUUAAGUUGGAUGUGAAAGCCUAUGGCUCAACCAUAGAACUGCAUCCAAAACUAUUAGACUAGAGUCUGGGAGGGGAAGAUGGAAUUAGUUGUGUUAGGGGUAAAAUCCSUAGAGAUAACUAGGAAUACCAAAAGCGAAGGCGAUCUUCUGGAACAGUACUGACGCUGAGGCGCGAAAGCGUGGGGAGCAAACAGGAUUAGAUACCCUGGUAGUCCACGCCCCUAAACGAUGAAUGUUAGUCGUCGGGUAGCUAGUCUAUUCGGUGAUGCAGCUAACGCAUUAAACAUUCCGCCUGGGGAGUACGGUCGCAAGAUUAAAACUCAAAGGAAUAGACGGGGACCCGCACAAGUGGUGGAGCAUGUGGUUUAAUUCGAAGAUACGCGAAGAACCUUACCUGGCCUUGACAUUGAGAGAAUCCGGUAGAGAUACUGGAGUGCCUUCGGGAGCUCGAAAACAGGUGCUGCACGGCUGUCGUCAGCUCGUGUCGUGAGAUGUUGGGUUAAGUCCCGCAACGAGCGCAACCCUCGUCCUUAGUUACUAACGGUUCGGCCGAGGACUCUAAGGAGACUGCCUUCGCAAGGAGGAGGAAGGUGAGGACGACGUCAAGUCAUCAUGGCCCUUACGGCCAGGGCAACACACGUGCUACAAUGGUUAGGACAAUGAGAAGCGAUACCGCGAGGUGGAGCAAAUCUAUAAACCUAAUCUCAGUUCGGAUUGUAGUCUGCAACUCGACUACAUGAAGCUGGAAUCACUAGUAAUCGUAGAUCAGCUAUGCUACGGUGAAUACGUUCCCGGGUCUUGUACUCACCGCCCGUCACACCAUGGGAGUUGAUUUCACCCGAAGCGGGGAAGCUAAACUGGCUACCCUCCACGGUGGGAUCAGCGACUGGGGUGAAGUCGUAACAAGGUAACAAGGGCGAAUUCUGCAGAUAUCCAUCACACUGGCGGCCGCUCGAGCAUGCAUCUAGAGGGCCCAAUUCGCCCUAUAGUGAGUCGUAUU